rnacentral:rRNA from 1 species
CGCGUAGGCGGUUUGUUAAGUCAGCUGUGAAAGCCCCGGGCUCAACCUGGGAACUGCAGUUGAUACUGGCCGACUAGAGUACGAGAGAGGGAGGUAGAAUUCCAUGUGUAGCGGUGAAAUGCGUAGAUAUAUGGAGGAAUACCAGUGGCGAAGGCGGCCUCCUGGCUCGAUACUGACGCUGAGGUGCGAAAGCGUGGGGAUCAAACAGGAUUAGAUACCCUGGUAGUCC